rnacentral:sRNA from 1 species
AUUUAUUUGGUAAAUUAUAUGCAGAAAAACAAAACAAUUCCACAACUUUUUCUCAAGGUUUUUUUUUUGUGUGCUCAUAAUUUAUAAAUUGAAAUUAGAAAGAUACAUGAAGAUUAGGCUUCAUCGGAGAAAUCCGAGUAACAAGUUCGAAAAUUGAAAAGCUUAACCAUACAUAACUCAAACAUAGAGACACGAACUGCAGUAAGCUUGAUAGGGGAAGAAGUGUCGAAACUAACUAACACAAGCAUGCCCAUGAGGAAGGGACGGAUAACGAAGAAACUCCAUGAGUUGACAACUCUCUGCGAAGUCAAAGCAUGUGUGGUAACCUACAGUCCGUACGAGAAUCCAGUGGUGUGGUCGUCAACCGAAGGUGUUUAAGAGGCGGUUUUAAUGUUUAUUAAAAGGCCGGCGAUAGAACGGUCCAAGCUGAUGAUGAGUCAUGAGACCUACUUGUAGAACCAAAUUACCAAAGAAACAAAGAAACUGGAGCGUCUACGUCUUGAAAACCGAGAAACUCAGCUUACACAUUUUAUGUUUGAUUGUGUUGAGGGUAAGAUAAGUGAGCAUCAGUAUGGUGCAAGGGACCUUCAAGAUUUAAGUUUUCAUAUUGAUCACUAUAUCAAUCAGCUUAAUUCCAGGGUCAAGAUCCUUACAAACAAUGGUGAGUCUUCUUCUUCCGUUCCUCCUCUACUUCAUACUUCAGUUGCGGGUGCGGGUGCAGCUCCUCUUCCUGUUGCGGGUGCCGAUCUUCCGAUGGAUCAGAAUCAGUAUGAGCCGAUUCAGCUCUAUAUCCCUAUUGGUCUUAGUUAUCAUAUUCAAUACCAACAUGAAAUCUAUGAUAAUUUCAGUUUGGAUCCAAAUCAUUAGUAUCCGUUUCAACAUGAUCCACUCAUGAAUAUGUUGAUGGAAUAUCCUUAUCAACAAGUGGGUUAUGUUGGAGAGCAUGCGCACAUCCUUUUCAUGAACGGAAACUACUACAACUACCACCAAACACCAACCGUUGGUCUUACUACCACCGGUCACAUGCCUUCCAACAACAACACCACCCCCACCACCGAUGUGUGAUGUGUUUCAAUA